GUGAUCCUACGGGACGCAGCAGUAGGGAAUCUUCCACAAUGGGCGAAAGCCUGAUGGAGCAACGCCGCGUGGGUGAAGAAGGUCUUCGGAUCGUAAAACCCUGUUGUUAGAGAAGAAAGUGCGUGAGAGUAACUGUUCACGUUUCGACGGUAUCUAACCAGAAAGCCACGGCUAACUACGUGCCAGCAGCCGCGGUAAUACGUAGGUGGCAAGCGUUAUCCGGAUUUAUUAGGCGUAAAGGGAACGCAGGCGGUCUUUUAAGUCUGAUGUGAAAUCCUUCGGCUUAACCGGAUGAGUGCAUUGGG
rnacentral:rRNA from 1 species